rnacentral:lncRNA from 1 species
GUUUCUGAUUUUCAGCAGAACAUUCUAUGUCUUUCACCGAAAGGAGAGAUUGAAUAUAUAAUCUUAGGUUUGCUAUAAUUAGUUCUGAUGACAGAGUUAAAUACCUCAGCCAAGACUGUAAAUCAGUACGUAAACAGGUUUCUGCAACUGAUCAUAAAUCUCAAACUGCAUAUUUUAAACACUUAUUUUUUUAGGAUGACAGAUAAGGGAGCAGCAGGCUAAGGAUAGGAAUAAAAUGUUAUCUGAACUUUUAAGUCACAACUUAGAACUCACAUUAAAAUCUUCUGAUUUUCUUUAUACCUUUUGUCUAAAAUAUUAUCUUUUAGCUUAUUAAUAACUUUAAUAAGACAAGUUUGAAUUUAAUUCACAAAAAAUGAAGAUAUAAUUUAUAAAAUGUCCAAAUUUUUGUUAAGACAUUACUUUUUAAGAAAUGUGUGUCUUGCUAAAUAUAAAACAUAUUGUAUGAGGUUGUUGUUUAAACAAAAUGAGAGUUGUACAUUAUUUUUUAAGAGAUGAUAAAGUUUGAGGAGGCAAGCCGAUGUUAUGUCAGAUCUCAUUUUGAAGUUAGUGAAACCUAGUCUAAUCCAGAACCAACUGAAUCCAAGUUUUCCAUUUUGGCAGAAGUUGCUUUUAUUUUUAGUAUCUGGCAGAGCAACAAAUGCUUUGCAUGUCAGUUCAAUAUUUUUUCCUGCCAACUGUUUAUUCAUUGGCUUAAAAUUUACACUCUACUAAAGUCUUAGCUCUGACUUUCAUGAAACAAAUAGUAAUAUUUGGACAAAAUAUGUACAUGAAAAUCUUUUUCCAGAACCAAAUGUAGACUGGUAUUUGUGACAUCAGUGCCUUCUAGCAUGGUGACGGGUCGAAAAAUACUUUGAAAAGUUGAAGGCUGUGUAAACCCACGGCAGUGCAUCUCAAGUGAUUUUUAUUAUGAGGUAAUCAGAGUAUCUAGGUUUUCAAAUUUAAAUUAGUGGGUGACUUUAUGCUAGAAAGUAGAAUAUGUGUUAGAAUAAAUUUAUCAAUAUAUAUUCUUGGCCUUUGUAGGAUACUGAGACAAUAAGGUCCAUUUUUCAUUUUUGAGGUUGGGGAGCUCUGUAGAUUUUGAUAAAAUGUGCAGAACUGCAUUCUUUAAUCUUUAUUAUUUCAUCCUCCCUCCACACUGCUUGCUUUAAAAGAAAAAAAUACCUACACACAUUUUCUAGUGUUAACUGCUGUAAUCAGCAUAGACUUCCUGGGAAGGGAUUCUUGCCUUCAGUAAAGGACAUGACAGCAUGUGGCCAAUGGAGAUUGCCACGAGGAAACCUGGAAAGGCAUUGAACCAUUUUGUGCUACUGUUAAAAUGAGGUGUGUUGUCUCUUUAUUAUCUCCUACUCAAUAGUGAGUAUUCUGGAGGUGUCUGUUCCCUUUCCGGAAUUUCUUCAAAUACAGAGAUGCUUCAGAGUAGCUUCCUGCCACAUUGGCUUUCAUGAUCUUAAUCCCUGGAACACAGCUAUAGGCUUCUGGGAGAUAGUUUAUUAAAUGCCAUGCAGAAUGCUAUGUUUUUAGAUGUGCAUGUAAAUCAAGAAUUAGCUGAGGAAUAUCUUUUUAUUAGUAGUAGUAGUAACUCAUUUUUAGAUUCAAGUAAAGUUUGUUUUCCAGGUGAGAUGACAUUUUUAAGAAAUUGAAUUUAAGUAUGUGCUUUUAUAUCCGGACCAGGUUUCUCAAGGAAGCAGAAUACAAGGGAAUGAAAGGGGAAGGGAGGGUAGUGCCCAAGAGAAACCUCGGCUCCUAAGUGCUCCCCUGCCAGGUUUCCCCCGUGCCUGCCCACUGGCACCAUCCUGGCAGCUCCAGCCCACACCCCCUCCUGGACCCUGGGCUGCCUCUCGCUGAAUAGCUGCAGGGGGCCUGCUAUGUGACAGGUAUGGAAUGAGGUAAUCCUUUUCCACCUCUAAUUUCUGAAGGGUGUGUCUGUCCAGUUUUUACUUGUUCAUUGAAUUUAAAGCCUUAGGAACCAACAGCUACAGUGCAAGCUGUAAUUAUUGAUGUCUGUUUCAUAUUCAUCUGUAAGUUCUGGCAUUUGAUCAAGAAGUCAAUAUAUCACUUCAUCUUCAGGCUGAAUGUGUCUCAGCUAUAAAGGUUUUAUUGUUUGAUGGAUAGCAUACAAUUAUGACUGCCCACAAUAAAAAGUGUUUUCAUUUGUAA